CAGAGGGCAAAGGAUGGUGGAAAGGAUCCAGCAGCUUCUUGUUCAGUGUGAUGAGCAGCUGCUUGGAAGUGGAGGCUCUGGAGCUGCUGCCCUGCUGAGCCCUGGGAGGGAGAGCACAUGGGUGGGGAAGGAGAGUCCAGAGCACUUCUGUGGGGCUGCUGGGCGCUGUCCUGGCGACUGCCCUUGCUGGCUUCUUGGCAGCCCCCCAGGCCUGGCUGUUACUGAGGAAAGCCCGGAAUAAUGCAGUGAGCCUGAGCAGCGUGGUGUGAAGAGCAGGAGGUCAGAUUACGGAUGCCCCUUGGAGCACCCCAGAAAGCUGAUACCUAUGCCUUCACCAGCAAGCAGCGUGGCACAGCAGGACCAGGCCUGUAGAGCAGAGGAGGGGCCGCAGGAGAAAAUGCUGCAGCCUCUGCUUUGCUGCUGCUCUCACCAAUGCUGCCAUGGUGCCCUAAGAUUUCUGGAUGGGACAAGCCCUGUGCAAACCCUCGGGACAGCAGCAUCCUCACUGGAGACACCUGGGUGUGCUCAGCACAGCAGCCCACGGCACAGCAUGGUGCAGUCGUGGAAGCAAGAAAAGCUCUCACUGCCCACUUCCCUUGAGCUACAAUGCAGGUCAGGCAAAGUCUGACUGUCCUGCUAGCUGAAAGACUUCUGCAUUAAAGACAGAGACAGGAAAAAAAAACAGGGACAAGUACCAAGAAAGCCAGUGACGUGCCCAGUAGCUACAGAGAGGUUCAUUUAAGGCUGUGGCAGGAACCUCUGGGGAGGGAAUCGUCUUGGAAGUGCCUGAGCAGUGAGUUGGAAACAGGCACGGCCUCCCUGCUGCUUUCCAUGGCAGGCCUGGGAAUAGCAAGAGGAAUGGGAGAGCACGAUACUAUUUGUUCUGUGUGCUAUAAAAAGUGACUAUUUAAGAUCUUGUUCUAAUAAAUGGAGCGAUGAAUUCCCCUUUCACUGUGACUACUGCUGAAGACAUGUGACUUAUUAGAUAUGCUGCUGUUGUAAUGGAAAUUACUAGCAAGACUAUUUAAUCCGAGAAGAGCUGAAUGUCUGGAGAAAGGGGAAAAAGGAUAGGGUGACACGAGAGAAAAGAAAGGCCUCAGCUGUGACAAUCUUGGGCACUCUGCACUAUUUGCUCUUUAAGCUGUUUCUCAAGAUCUUCUGGCAGAGAAGUGAUAAUAAAUUGUUUAACAACUCA